AAGGGAUUGCCCUAGUAGCGGCGAGCGAAGCGGGAAGAGCUCAAAUUUAUAAUCUGGCACCUUCGGUGUCCGAGUUGUAAUCUCUAGAAAUGUUUUCCGCGUUGGACCGCACACAAGUCUGUUGGAAUACAGCGGCAUAGUGGUGAGACCCCCGUAUAUGGUGCGGACGCCCAGCGCUUUGUGAUACAUUUUCGAAGAGUCGAGUUGUUUGGGAAUGCAGCUCAAAUUGGGUGGUAAAUUCCAUCUAAAGCUAAAUAUUGGCGAGAGACCGAUAGCGAACAAGUACCGUGAGGGAAAGAUGAAAAGCACUUUGGAAAGAGAGUUAACAGUACGUGAAAUUGUUGGAAGGGAAACGCUUGAAGUCAGACUUGCUUGCCGAGCAAUCGGUUUGCAGGCCAGCAUCAGUUUUCCGGGAUGGAUAAUGGUAGAGAGAAGGUAGCAGUUUCGGCUGUGUUAUAGCUCUCUGCUGGAUACAUCUUGGGGGACUGAGGAACGCAGUGUGCCUUUGGCGGGGGUUUCGACCUCUUCACACUUAGGAUGCUGGUGGAAUGGCUUUAAACGACCCGUCUUGAAACCACGGACCA
rnacentral:rRNA from 1 species